CUAACAAGGUAAAUUGCAAAAAUUCAAAAAAGAAGAAAUUGUAAAAUUAAAGUGGAGACAAAUGCAGGAAACAUGAAAAUACUUCAUUCAUAAGUUCAUUGCAAUGGUUUAGCACCAUAUUUACAGCAAAAUAACCCCAGAUAGACCAAAUUCAUUUUUCAUUAUAAUUUAUGAAUUAAUUUUCACAUCUCACAAUCGUUU
rnacentral:lncRNA from 1 species